GGCCGACAGGCGUAGUCGAUGGAUAACGGGUUGAUAUUCCCGUACCGGUGUUGAUGCGUCCAUGCUGAGGCCAGGUGUGCUAACCAUUUGAGUCUUCAUGUCCUUUCGGGGGUGUGGGGGUGAGGGUGGGAUCCUGUCUGGUAGUAGGCAA
rnacentral:rRNA from 1 species